rnacentral:rRNA from 1 species
UACGAAGGGUGCAAGCGUUACUCGGAAUUACUGGGCGUAAAGCGUGCGUAGGUGGUUCGUUAAGUCUGAUGUGAAAGCCCCGGGCUCAACCUGGGAAUUGCAUUGGAUACUGGCGGGCUAGAGUACGGUAGAGGGUGGCGGAAUUCCUGGUGUAGCAGUGAAAUGCGUAGAGAUCAGGAGGAACAUCCGUGGCGAAGGCGGCCACCUGGACCAGUACUGACACUGAGGCACGAAAGCGUGGGGAGCAAACAGGAUUAGAUACCCCCGUAGUCCCU